UCCAAUAAAGACCAUGGCCUAUUCACAGUUUCCUGAUGUAUUGACAAAUUUAAAUACAAGUACAGUUGCUUUAAUAAAUGAAAGUCAUUCGUAAUACAACAGACGAUGCAGAAACUGGGUUCCCACCUUGUUCCGAUCCUGUGAAGCACGAAGUUGGAUUCAAAUUGCCUAAUGAUCGUCUUCGAACGAUUCUCUGCAUAUUAAAACAGGUUGCUGGAAAGAUCAAUGGUAGUGAUCACCACCCGACUAACUGCGUUGCUACAGCUUGCAAAUAAUACUUCUACACUUGGCGUAGUAAACUCUGUUAUUAUUUCUAUAAUUGCAUAGAUUUUUCUGUUCUAACUUGAAAUUUCCCGCAGCACAAGAAGUGGUAUGCAUGGAGCUGCCUGAGCAUUGCACAUAGAUGUCAGUAACACCAUGAACCCAACCAGCGGCGCUGCUGAAAACCGACAGCACUCUCACAACAGAAAACAGCAACGAGCCUCCUCGCCGGCCAGAUUCCGGGAUAUUAACUCCAGACCUUCCAUCAAGACAUCGCUGGCUGGCAAAGCCAAUGCACUGAAACCGGGUUACCACCCCGGCCGGAUCGCCAGCCAAGCUGCCGCAGCCGCGAAAGACAAGCCGAACAGACCCGCGGCAACUGUCCGCCCCUUCGGUGCUGAAAGGGUGGUCGCGGCUACGCCCCAUGACGGCGCCGGAGAGGAGGGAGAUCAGAGCACGGUGGCGAACCCUGCCAAGAGCGGCCGCGCACCGGCUGUCGCCGAGACGGCAGCAAUAGCGGCGCCGCCGCCACCGCAGCCGGUGGGCGGGGGCGGGGAGCCGGCGGGAGCGGCGCCGCCCAGCGUGGCCAAGGCGCUGUCCAGCGCUGCCGCGAUGCACACCAAAGGUGCCGCCGAGCUGGAUGAGCGGCCGGCCGGAGACGCCAACAUGGAGGCGAUGACGGAGCAAGAAGAAAGCCUGCAGAAUGAGAUCGAGAAACUGCGCUCGGAAAACCUGGGCCUUAAGAACGAAAUCGAGGAGAUGCGAACCGAGAUGGACGAGAUGAGGGACAGUUUCUAUGAGGAGGACGCCUGCCAACUGCAGGACCUCCGGCGGGAGCUGGAGCGGGCCAACAAGAACUGCCGGAUCCUGCAGUACCGCCUGCGUAAGACCGAGAGGAAAAGGAUGAGGUUCGCUCAGACCGGCGAGAUGGACAACGAGCUCCUGAGAAGUCUGGAACAAGACCUUAAGGUUGCCAAAGAUGUAUCUGUCCGCCUGCACCACGAAUUGGAAAACGUUGAGGAAAAACGCACCAAAACUGAGGAGGAAAAUGAAGCCUUGCGUCAGCAGUUAAUAGAGGCUGAAAUUACCAAGCAAGCUUUACAGAAUGAGCUGGACAAAAUAAAAGAGUCUUCAUUAAAGCGACGUGGAAGUAAAGAUCUGCAAAAAUCUGAAAAGAAGUCCCAACAAUCUCAAGAGGAGGACAAUGAUGAUAUAAAAUGCCAACUACAGUUCAUCAAAGAAGAAGCAAUAUUAAUGCGUAAGAAAAUGGCAAAAAUUGAUAAAGAGAAAGACAGACUGGAGCGUGAAUUGCAAAAGUACAGGUCUUUUUAUGGGGAUCUGGAUAGCCCUUUGCCGAAAGGUGAAGCAGGGGGACCUCCUACAACCAGAGAAGCUGAACUCAAACUACGCCUCCGGCUGGUAGAAGAAGAAGCUAAUAUCCUGGGGAGAAAAAUAGUUGAACUUGAGGUUGAAAAUAGAGGGUUAAAGGCUGAGUUGGAUGACGUGAGGGCCCACUAUGAAAAAGGAGGGAUAGGUGGUGAAGAUUACAUGGGUGUUGGUGCUUCCGCUUUCCGGGAUCAAAGCGAAGCUGUGUCUGAGCUGAGGCAGAACUUGCAACUGGUCGAGGAUGAAGCCGAAUUACUGAGGCGCAAUCUGGCUGACUUAGAAGACCAAAAUAAGCGCCUUUCAGCUGAAGUCAAUAAAUACAAGUACAAAACAGGAAGUGCGCAAGAUGCCUCCAGGAAUAGCGAGAACUCCAAAGUCACGGAAGUGCUACAAGAAGAGCUAAAGGCAGCGAGGAUGCAAAUCAAUGAACUCAGUGGCAAAGUCAUGCAGCUGCAGUAUGAAAAUCGGGUACUGAUGUCUAAUAUGCAACGCUAUGACCUGGCGUCCCAUUUGGGUAUCCGCGCAAGUCCCAGAGACAGUGAUGCGGAGAGCGAUGCAGGGAAAAAAGAGAGUGAUGAUGAUUCCCGGCCGCCCCACCGUAAAAGGGAAGGGCCCAUAGGUGGGGAAAGUGACUCGGAAGAAGUCCGCAACAUCAGGUGUUUACAGACGCCACCGAGGUCUUUAUUUUCCACAGACGGCAGAUUGCUUCAAAAAAAUCUCAAAGACCGACAACAGAUGUCAGACAUACGGCUGGAAGCAGAGCGCCUGAGCAGAACUAUAGAUCGGUUGAUCACUGACACGAGCACAAUAAUAACCGAGGCAAGAAUUUAUGUGGCAAAUGGUGAUCUGUUCGGCAGAAUCGAGGAUGAAGAUGAAAGCAGCAGGAUCAGAGAGCACGAACUUCUCUACAGAAUCAACGCUCAGAUGAAAGCAUUUAGGAAGGAGCUGCAGACUUUCAUAGACAGACUAGAGGUACCAAAAACAACAGACGAGAAAAAUACAGAGGAACCUUUGUCUGUUAGUCAGAAUCCCCAUCUACUUCAACAUACUACCUUUUUAGUUUAUUCAUUUAUUUUAAUACCUCAUCAAGAAAUCGGCAAAUACAAAAUAACACACUUAGCAGUCAAGACAUUACAGAAUCCAAUAUGCAAAUCGUUGUUUAAUACUGGAGACUACCAAUUUUCAACGCGGAUUUUUACAUGAAGCCAUUAGAUUUCCCUGUUUGCGGAAUGUGUUACAGACCAACCCGGAUGAAUCUUUUAUGAUUGUCUGCAACUUCAGGAUCACCAGAUGACAGUAGAACUCCUGAAUUUGCAUCCAGUCGUUGUUCAGCAAAGUGAAGACGUUCCGUUGCUUCAUCAUUUUUUAUGGAAAAUCUCCUCCAAAUAACUACAAGGUCCUAAGAAGGUCCUGUGCAGAGAAGAAUUUUACUCCCCUGCAUUUCCUGGCCCACUUGGCUGUUUCCCGGCAAUACAACUAUGUUCAGAAAAGAGCAAGGCUCGACAUAACCACAAAGAGGAAGGCAGGCUGAUGAAAACAGAAGAAUUUUGCUAGAUCUCAAGUCCAUUUUGCAAGGUGUUCAGGCUAACAUUAACAAGGAGGAAGAUCAAAAGGCAAAGCUACACCAUCAGUGUUCUAAAGAUAAACAUGCCUGGGAAUUGGAACGAAAAAAGCUAAAUUGUAUU